UGUGGGGCCGAGGGUCCACAGAUAGCUAUCAGUCCCCAGGCAUUUAGUCUAUGUUAGAGGUAAACAAAUACGGGUCCAGCUAAGGGAAAAAGAAAAACAUCUUACAGCCAGUUUCUAAACUCCAGACAACGGAAUGUGUCAGUGAGACCUUGUGUAUGGAUACACACGCAUCUAAAACGGCCCCGCCAG
ensembl:misc_RNA